rnacentral:rRNA from 1 species
UCAAGCUAUAAAGAGCGUAGGGAGAAUGACUUGGCAUCAGGAGCCGAAGAAGGACGUGACAAGCUGCGAUAAGCUGCGGUUAGGAGCAAAUAUCCAUAGACCCGCAGAUAUCCGAAUGGGGAAACCCGGUACGGCAAUACCGUAUCACUGCAUGGUAAAUACAUAGCCAUGUGGAGGAAACCCUCUGAACUGAAACAUCUAAGUAGGAGGAGGAAGAGAAAGAAACAUCGAUUUCCUAAGUAGCGGCGAGCGAAAGGGAAAGAGCCCAAACCGAGAGAUUUAUCUUUCGGGGUUAGGACUGCAUAAUUGAUCUGCGAUUGAUAGGAGAAUGGUCUGGGAAGUCCAGCAGGAAAGCGUGAAAGCCGCGUAUCCGAAAUUGAAAGCAGCAAGGCAGUAUCCAGAGUACCACGAGACACGAGGAACCUUGUGGGAAUGAGCGGAGACCACUCCGUAAGGCUAAAUACUACUCAGUGACCGAUAGCGCAUAGUACUGUGAAGGAAAGGUGAAAAGGACCCCGGGAGGGGAGUGAAAGAGAACCUGAAACCCUGUGUUUACAAGCUGUGGAACAUCAUUAUUCGAUGAACCGCGUACUUUUUGUAGAACGGUCCGGCGAGUUACGCUUACUGGCAAGGUUAAGCACUGAAGGUGCGGAGCCGGAGGGAAACCAAGUCUGAAUAGGGCGAUGAGUCAGUAGGAGUAGACCCGAAACCGGGUGAUCUAUCCAUGUCCAGGUUGAAGCUGCCGUAAGAGGUAGUGGAGGACCGAACCCACAUCCGUUGAAAAGGGUGGGGAUGAGGUGUGGAUAGGGGAGAAAUUCCAAUCGAACCCGGAGAUAGCUGGUUCUCCUCGAAAUAGCUUUAGGGCUAGCCUCGUAUUAGUCUAGUGGAGGUAGAGCACUGAAUUUCCUAGGGGGCGUCAAAGCUUACCGAAGAAUAUCAAACUCCGAAUGCCAUAUAGAUGAUGUACGGGAGUCAGACUGCACGAGAUAAGUUGGGCAGUCAAAAGGGAAAGAGCCCAGACCGCCAGCUAAGGUCCCAAAGUGUGUGUUAAGUGGAAAAGGAUGUGGGAUUUCGAAGACAACUAGGAUGUUGGCUCAGAAGCAGCCACACAUUCAAAGAGUGCGUAAUAGCUCACUAGUCGAGAGGUCCUGCGCCGAAAAUGUCCGGGGCUGAAACACAACACCGAAGCUUAGGAAUGUAGAAAUACAUUGGUAGAGGAGCAUUCUUAAAGGAAUGAAGCAGUACCGGUAAGGAGCUGUGGACUUUUAAGAAGAGAGAAUGCCGGAAUGAGUAGCGAGAUGGAGGUGGGAAUCCUCCAGGCCGAAUAUCCAAGGUUUCCAGAGUAAAGCUGAUCUGCUCUGGGUAAGUCGGGGCCUAAGGUAAGGCUGAGAAGCGUAGCCGAUGGACAACAGGUUGAGAUUCCUGUACCGCGUAUCAUCAGAACUGUGGGGACACAGAAGGACAGCACAUCCCGGGAAUGGAAAGACCGGGGCAAGCAGGGUAGGAGUUAAGCUGGCAAAUCCGCUUAACAAUCCGAAGCUGUGAUGCGGAGCGAAUUUAAGUAGCGAAGUGUGCGAUUCCAGCUGUCAAGAAAAGCCGCUAUUGUGUGAUACGUGCCCGUACCGUAAACCGACACAGGUAGAUGAGGAGAGAAUCCUAAGGCCGGCGGGAGAAGCAUUGUUAAGGAACUCGGCAAAAUGACCCUGUAACUUCGGGAGAAAGGGUGCCUGGGAAACCAGGCCGCAGAGAAUAGGCUCAAGCAACUGUUUAGCAAAAACACAGGUCUAUGCAAAACCGUAAGGUGAGGUAUAUGGGCUGACGCCUGCCCGGUGCUGGAAGGUUAAGAGGAGGGGUUAGCGCAAGCGAAGCUCUGAAUUGAAGCCCCAGUAAACGGCGGCCGUAACUAUAACGGUCCUAAGGUAGCGAAAUUCCUUGUCGGGUAAGUUCC